rnacentral:lncRNA from 1 species
AUUGUUGGUGCCAUUAUUGUAGCAGACGCUGAUCUUAAGCGAAAGCGUGAUGAGGAGUCAAAGCCUCCUCUAACCUUAGAAGAAUUAUCCACCUGGGCCAAAGACAAAAUUGCACCAUACAAGGUAUGCAGCAUGAACACAUUGAAUAUUUGAUGCAUAAAUUCACCUGUGUUCAUGACAGGCUUAGGACUUAGGAGCUUUAAAAGUAUAUUUUUUUGAUGAUUUGUUUAUAUCUUGUUAGAUACCGACUCGGCUAAUCGUGUGGGACUCAAUCCCUCGCAACGCAAUGGGGAAGGUAAUUUACUUUCGCUUUUAUGCAGUCUAUGGAGUUUGAACACCAUUUCCUUUUUAGCAUGAAUAGUGUUAUUUGGGAAGAAAAUUUAACUCUUCUUUUGUGUUUGUGAAAUUUCAGGUGAAUAAAAAAGAGCUGAAGAAAUUGCUGGUUUCAGAAGAGUAAAUUGCAUAUUAGCAUUUAUUUAUUAGGCAAAGUCCAUUUUCUGAAACCAGUUUUAAGAUAAUUUCAAACUCUAAUAAAUUUGCACCAGUUCUGUACAUGGAGAUGCAACAUUUCUCUAGUACACUAUGCUUUAGUCUAUUAGCAAAAAAGAAAGAAAAAAGGAAUAUAAAAGGAAACUGAGAAAUAAUUAUUUUAAGUUCAGUGUUUUAGAUUCAUAAGGAUGAUAUCAAGGAAGAUUGUCUUUGAUGGAUGGCUUGUUCUAAAGUAUGUUUCAAAAUAUACUUCAAACUAAUGUAAAUGAACGAAAAAUAGAAAAAAUAAUUAAUUUGGAUGACUAAAAUUUGGACAAUUUGAACAGGUAGGAAUGUAAAAAUUAGACAAGGAUGAUUUGCCGGAGGGGUGAUAAUUGGAUGGUUUUGGAUAUGGAUCUUAAUGGAUGGAUAGAAAACUAUCCACCAAUCCAUGUAGAUUCAUUACAUCACAUUUUUAGAUUAUCCAAUCAUCCCUAUCCAAUUAAUUCAAAUUCAUCCAUUCUAUCCAACCUACUUUUUUUAAUUUGAAUAAAACAUUUUUAAUAAAGCAAUUUGAAAAAGAAAAAUUAUUUUAAAAAUUAUUAUUUAAUAAAGCAUUUUUAAAUAUCAAUUUUAAAAAAAUAAUUUUCUUAACAAACACUUUUAAAAAGUGCUUUUUUGAUAAAUACUUUUAAAAAUGUGAAUUUGUUAAGUUUUUUUUAUAAGCAUUUUUAUUGGCAAGAAUCUCUGGUGCAACAUAAUCGGUAGGAGUGUAAAAGUUUGAUUCGGUUUUUGACACAAUUUAGUGUCCGAACACAAAGAUAUGGUUCGGUUCUACUUGAUUAACCGCAAAUUUUAUUUAGGAACCGAACCGUUCAUUUAUGUUUCAGUUCGGUUCCGUGGUUUUUCAACUUAUUUAAAGAAAAUCCUUUAUGAAAUAGUUGAACAAAAUUUGCAAAGUAUAGAAUCAACUAAAUGAAUAUUAUACGCAUCAAUAAUAAAGUAUUUAAUAUUCUUUCUAGUAAAACAAUAAUAAUUCAACAUCUCAACGCACUACAAACUUGAAAUUUUAGUUCACAAAAUCUUCGACAAUGUCAAACAAAAUUUAAGAAUGACAAACUUGGUACUAAUUCUAUAGUCCAACAGUCUAUCUUCUCAAUGAAUAAUAGAGAUAAUAUAUAUUUGAGUUUGUUUACUAAUUUAUUUUUUCUAUUUGCCUCUUACUUAUAGCCUAUAUGUAUUAAUAAUCAUAAAUUUUUAAUCAUAUUUUAUCUCCUAACUUUAAAGCUUAACAAUCUAAAUAUAAAAUAAAAUUAUUUUUUAAUAUGCGAUUCGAUUCAGUUCUAACGGUUCCAAAAUUUACAAAAUCGUGAACCGAACCGAACUUAAAUGGUUCCAAAUAAAAUAGCUUUUUGUUGCUAAAAAUCUAAUUGUCUUGUUGAAGGUUGAAUUUUUGCCAAAGUUUAGUGUGAGGGGAAUUUGGCAGAGAUGGCGUGAGUCAUAUCCAACUGAAGGAUCUAAGUCUGAUGAUGCUAUAACUUUGUUUACUGGAGUAAGUAUAAUUCUGUUAAGCUUUGCUCAGUUCUAUGAUAUGAUUCAUUCCCAUGGUACCUUUGUUUUUCUAUGUAAUCUUAGCUCCACUGAAGAUAAAUGUCUUCUUUGCCAUAAUCGUAAAAGACAAUUUAUAGGCCAUAUAAUGGUGUUCUUUGUAAUGUCUGUAAAUUCAUAGGUUGCACCUAAAAUCCAUAUUUGCUAUUAAUACUAGUUACUAUGAUUGGAAAACUUGUCUUGGGUGACCUUGUUCUGAUGAAGUUCUUUUGUAAAUGAAGGUUCCGACUAUAUACACCCGAUUAAUACAAGGUUAUCAUGCAAUGGAUCCUGAGCUAAAAGCCACUUCAGCUUCUGCUGCAAGGAACUUGCGUCUUAUGGUAAGAGAAAAGGAAGCAUCUUAGUACCAAUCAUUUUUUUAUCUGUUAAAAGUGGAUAAUGAAAAUUUUGUUGGCAUUUUAAAAAUAAAGGAAUAUUACUUAUUUUUUAAUUUAACUGAAAUUUUAAACUUAGCAGUGUAGCAAUUUACCAUGAAUGGAAACUGCUAUUUUUGUUAUUUAGUGUCCUGUAAUGGUGUUGAGUGGUGACGAAUAGCUCAUUCUCCGAAAUCUGAUAUUUAGUCAUUACGUCAUUCAGAUGUGUGGGUCCUCUGCACUUCCUCAACCUGUUAUGCAAGAAUGGGAAGCCAUUACUGGGCAUCGCUUAUUGGAGCGAUAUGGCAUGACUGAAGUAAGUUCACUUUGGUUUAAGUUCUUCAACUUUGCAAGAAAUCAUAUAGUGUAUCAUACUGUUCUCAAUUUUACAGUAAAUUUCUAUGAUGAAUCUUACAUUAUUAUGUUAAUGUUUCUAGUUUGUCAUGGCAUUGUCAAAUCCAUUGAAAGGUGAGCGUAAGGCAGGCACUGUUGGCAAACCGUUUCCUGGUAUACAGGUCAGUUAAGAUUGCAGUUUUCCGUUUGCUGUUCACCAUCAAAUUUUGGCUUUAUGAUCUCCGAUUCCGUUGUUUCAAUAUUGGUCUGACAAGAUAAGAUAGCUUAAACAACAACGUCAGCGAUUUUCGUAACUAAUGUUUUGGACACAAGUUUCAAUGUCAGGUUAAGGAAACCACAUUUAUUAGUCUAACAACACUAAUUGAAGUUAUAUAUGACUGAAACCUACAGGAUAUAUAUAUGUGAAAGAAGUUGAUUUCGGCAUACCUAAGAGUUGGAUGUUUUACUAUGAACCUGGAGACCUCAAGUGUUAUUGAUUCUCAACAUGAAAGAUAUUUAUCACAUGGAAUUUUAAUUUUCUCUUUUCUGUAUGUGUGACAGGUCAAGAUUCUUGCAGAUGAGGACAACAAGAGUGAAACAAAAGGAGUUGGCGAGCUUUGUGUUAAAAGCCCUUCGUUGUUUAAUCAAUAUUGGAAACUUCCCGAGGUACUUUGAGAAUGCUAGUUAGUUCUGUUUAAUGAUUCUGAAAUCAUCAUUUAGUAAAUGAUUGUUGGCAUUGCCUAUUCUUUUGAUUCUUAUACUCGAAAAAGUUCCUUAUUGAUGUAUGCGAUAUAUGAUUAUGUGCACCCAUAUGUAAUAUUCAAAGACUUUAUGUCUUCUUACGUGAGAAGCAGUUAUUUGAGCAACAGAAUUCCAAAGAUGCUAAAGAUAGAGCACAGCAAAAGGAAUAUAAUAUGAAUUUGAGUAACAAAAAUAACCAAGACUCCAAAUAUAGAACAUGAUAAAAGAAACCUAACACAUUGGUCUGAGAGAUGUUAUUUAUUAUUAUUAUUAUUUUCAUGCAGGUAACAAAGGAAUCAUUCACUGAUGAUGGAUUCUUUAGGACUGGCGAUGCAGCUACUACAGAUGAAGAUGGAUAUUACAUCAUUCUAGGACGUAAGGAAAUCUAUAUUUCUCGAUUCAUGCUGUUGUAUGAUUACCUGUAAGAGUCAGAGCUUUGAGUGCAUUCUGCAGCAUGGGUUUCAUGUCUUAAUAUAUGUAGUAUCCCAAUUUAAAAUUUCUAGGAUGCUAUCCAACUUUAAAUUUUAAAGUUCGGAUUAUAGAAAAUCGCGACAUUGUCAACCAUGGUGAUAUACGCUACAUACAAUAUCUACGUUUAAUGUUGUGCAUGCCAACUUGGUGUAAAAUAUUAUUAGCAAUUCAGCAUAAGUGAUAGCCAAAGUAAAUUCUUCGGUUACUCUGAUCUAAUGUGAAAUUUCUGUCUUGCAUGAUGUACAUACUCUCUACUUGUUUAUCAGGUACUAAUGCUGAUAUAAUCAAGGUCGGUGGCUAUAAACUGUCUGCAUUAGAAAUUGAAUCCGUUAUAGUAGAGGCAAGUAGCUACUCUUUUCUCAAUCUACGGUUGUUCGUUGUUAAGAACUCUUUGUAUACUCACGCAAUUUCUCCACGAAAGGAGCCGGAUAUAACAAAUGAUAUGAUAUUCACAAUGCGAACCUUUUUUGCAGCAUCCGGCCAUAUCAGAAUGUUGUGUUUUGGGCAUACCAGACAAAGAUUAUGGAGAAAUUGUUGGUGCCAUUAUUGUAGCAGACGCUGAUCUUAAGCGAAAGCGUGAUGAGGAGUCAAAGCCUCCUCUAACCUUAGAAGAAUUAUCCACCUGGGCCAAAGACAAAAUUGCACCAUACAAGGUAUGCAGCAUGAACACAUUGAAUAUUUGAUGCAUAAAUUCACCUGUGUUCAUGACAGGCUUAGGACUUAGGAGCUUUAAAAGUAUAUUUUUUUGAUGAUUUGUUUAUAUC